AGCUUUUGCAACUCGAUACUGUAAAUUUACAGUACCGUCGGUAUGUUUGGAGAAAUCGUAGGCUAACAACGACGAAGAAGAAAUAACGGUGAAAAUUUGCCGAAUUAGAAAUUAUUUCGCAAAAAUCUAUACGGAGUUGCUGCGUAUCGUAACACGUAGAGAAGCACCCCGGUGUUCCCUUUGGAGAAACUUUUGUCCCCGACGUAGUGCACGUGCGCUUCGGCUUCCACCAAAUCACGUUCCCCUGCGAUCAACCGGGUCUCCUCAAUUUGGAUCAAGAGGAGAAGGAACAAGAGGAACUGCGGGAGAGUGGGAAGAACGGGGAGAAAGCGGGUUUGAAAAGCGACGAGGACACGCCGAUGCUGGAAAGAGAAAAACCGAG
rnacentral:misc_RNA from 1 species